rnacentral:rRNA from 1 species
UACGUAGGGGGCAAGCGUUGUCCGGAUUUAUUGGGCGUAAAGAGCGUGUAGGCGGUUUGGUAGGUCCGUUGUGAAAGUCCAGGGCUCAACCCUGGAAUGCCGGUGGAUACUGUCGGGCUAGAGUCCGGAAGGGGCGAGUGGAAUUCCUGGUGUAGCGGUGAAAUGCGCAGAUAUCAGGAGGAACACCAAUGGCGAAGGCAGCUCGCUGGGACGUGACUGACGCUGAGGAGCGAAAGCAUGGGGAGCGAACAGG